rnacentral:rRNA from 1 species
UACGAAGGGGGCUAGCGUUGUUCGGAUUUACUGGGCGUAAAGCGCACGUAGGCGGAUUGUUAAGUGAGGGGUGAAAUCCCAGGGCUCAACCCUGGAACUGCCUUUCAUACUGGCAAUCUCGAGUCCGGAAGAGGUGAGUGGAACUCCUAGUGUAGAGGUGGAAUUCGUAGAUAUUCGGAAGAACACCAGUGGCGAAGGCGACUCACUGGCCCGUUACUGACGCUGAGGCGCGAAAGCGCGGGGAGCAAACAGG